UACGAAGGGGGCUAGCGUUGUUCGGAUUUACUGGGCGUAAAGCGCGUGUAGGCGGAUUAGUAAGUCAGGGGUGAAAUCCCGGGGCUCAACCUCGGAACUGCCUUCAAUACUGCUGAUCUGGACUCAAGAAGAGGCAAGUGGAAUUGCGAGUGUAGAGGUGAAAUUCGUAGAUAUUCGCAGGAACACCAGUGGCAAAGGCGGCUCACUGGCCCGGUACUGACGCUGAGGUGCGAAAGCGUGGGGAGCAAACAGG
rnacentral:rRNA from 1 species